rnacentral:rRNA from 1 species
AGAGUUUGAUCCUGGCUCAGAUUGAACGCUGGCGGAAUGCUUUACACAUGCAAGUCGAACGGCAGCACGGGAGCUUGCUCCUGGUGGCGAGUGGCGAACGGGUGAGUAAUGCGUCGGAACGUACCGAGUAAUGGGGGAUAACGCAGCGAAAGCUGUGCUAAUACCGCAUACGCCCUGAGGGGGAAAGUGGGGGACCGCAAGGCCUCACGUUAUUCGAGCGGCCGACGUCUGAUUAGCUAGUUGGUGGGGUAAUGGCCCACCAAGGCGACGAUCAGUAGCGGGUCUGAGAGGAUGAUCCGCCACACUGGAACUGAGACACGGUCCAGACUCCUACGGGAGGCAGCAGUGGGGAAUUUUGGACAAUGGGGGCAACCCUGAUCCAGCCAUUCCGCGUGAGUGAAGAAGGCCUUCGGGUUGUAAAGCUCUUUCAGCUGGAAAGAAACGGUACGCACUAACAUUGCGUGCUAAUGACGGUACCAGCAGAAGAAGCACCGGCUAACUACGUGCCAGCAGCCGCGGUAAUACGUAGGGUGCGAGCGUUAAUCGGAAUUACUGGGCGUAAAGCGUGCGCAGGCGGAUUGUUAAGCAAGAUGUGAAAUCCCCGGGCUUAACCU